rnacentral:rRNA from 1 species
GACGAACGCUGGCGGCGUGCCUAAUACAUGCAAGUAGAACGCUGAAGAGAGGAGCUUGCUCUUCUUGGAUGAGUUGCGAACGGGUGAGUAACGCGUAGGUAACCUGCCUGGUAGCGGGGGAUAACUAUUGGAAACGAUAGCUAAUACCGCAUAAAAUUAAUUAUUGCAUGAUAAUUAAUUGAAAGAUGCAAUUGCAUCACUACCAGAUGGACCUGCGUUGUAUUAGCUAGUUGGUGAGGUAACGGCUCACCAAGGCGACGAUACAUAGCCGACCUGAGAGGGUGAUCGGCCACAUUGGAACUGAGACACGGUCCAAACUCCUACGGGAGGCAGCAGUAGGGAAUAUUGCGCAAUGGGGGAAACCCUGACGCAGCAACGCCUCGUGGAGGAUGACACUUUUCGGAGCGUAAACUCCUUUUGUUAGGAAAGAAUAAUGACGGUACCUAACGAAUAAGCACCGGCUAACUCCGUGCCAGCAGCCGCGGUAAUACGGAUGGUGCAAGCGUUACUCGUAAUCACUGGGCGUAAAGGACGCGUAGGCGGAUUAUCAAGUCUCUUGUGAAAUCUAACGGCUCAUCCGUUAAACUGCUUGGGAAAACUGUUAAUCUAGAGUAAGGGAUAGGCAGAUUGGAAUUCUUGGUGUAUGGGUAAAAUCCGUUGAUUUCAAGAAUAAUACUUAGUGUUAAUGUGUAUUUGCUGGAAUUUAACUGACUCUAUUGUGUUGAAAUCGUGUGUGAGCAAAUAGGAGUAGAACCUCUGUGUUGUCCAGGGUUGAUGUUUCAGUGGAUAUUUAUCUUGUUGAUACUUCUACUUCUGUGGUGGUCCUGGUUCACAAUUAUUAUUUUUUUUUUGUGAUUAUGUAUUGUUGUCUUCUAUCUCCCCCUUCCUCUG